AUAAAAUUUUAAUUUGGUUUAAAAAUUUGUUUAAAUAUUUAUUUAUAUAUAAUUUUUGGAGAAUUUAUUAAUUUAAAUAAUUAAUAAAAUGAUAAUUUAAUAUGUAUAAUUAAUAAAAAUUAAGAAAAUUGAAGAUUAGAAAUUAUUUUUAAUAUAGGUUAAUCCUGUGCCAGCAUCAGCGGUUAAACAAGAUAUAUAAGUAAAUUUUAAAUUAUUUUAUUUAAAUUUUCAUUUUUAUAAUUUAAUUUAAUUUAAAAAGAUAAAAUUUUAUAUUUUUUGAUAGUUAUAAUUUAAUUUAAUUGAAUUAGAAAAUUUAGGUUAAAAACUAGGAUUAGAUACCCUAUUAUUCUAAAAUUAAUUUAUAAAUUAAUAAUGAUUAAAAAUUUUAAAAUUAAAAAUUAUGGCGGUAUUUUAUCCUGAUUAGAGGAACUUGUUGUGUAAGUGAUAAUCCACGAAAAGAUAAACUUAAUUUUUUAUACUUAUGUAUGUUCGUUUUAAAAGAAUUUUUGAAAAAUAAAUUUUUUAUAAAUUUUAUUUUUAGGAUUUUAAUUCAGAUCAAUAUGUAGUUUUAAUUAAGAAUUAAAUGAGUUACAUUGAAUUUAUUUUUUGGAAUAUUUAAUUUAAUUUAAAUAUGAAAUUGGAUUUAAAAGUAAAUUAAAUAAAUUAAUUUAAUUGAUUAAUGUUUUAAAAUAUGUACAAAUUGCCCGUCACUUCUAUUUAAUAGAAUAAGUCGUAACAAAGUAAGUGUACUGGAAAGUGUACUUAGUUUCUA
rnacentral:ncRNA from 1 species